rnacentral:rRNA from 1 species
AUGGAUGGAGCAGUGGCCAGGUCUCGGCGUGGUGGGGCAGCUGCAGCGAUAUGCCUGGACCAGGAUGGCCUAUACCUGGGGUCAUCGGCGGUUGUUUUUUAGGGAAUCACUGAUCCGGUGAUGCUUGAGACUUAUGCUUGCAGGGUAGCUUUGGCAUUGGCAGAGGAUCUUGCGACAACCAAUAUAUGUGUAGCCUCGGAUUGCCAAGAAGUGGUUAAUGAUAUCAACAGAGGGACAGGAGGUCCCAACUCUGCCCUUGUACAUGAAAUAAAGCUUCGUUGUAAUAGUUUUAAUUCAUACUCGUUUAUUCAUGAGUGGAGGAACCACAAUUAUGAGGCUCACAAUCUCGCCAACUUUGCUUGUAGCCUAGGACUAGAUAGACAUGUAUGGUUGGGCAAUCCUCAUGACCCAAACCUUGUAUUUAUGUCGCUUGUUCUUGAAUGA